AACUUUCACUUCUACACCUCCUCAAACCGUCACAACAAGUCCCCUCUCACUGUCUUCAUUGCUAAAUGAAGCUGAAAGCGGGACGCGCUUAGCUUUGCUCUGUGGCACGGGUUAGAGUUUACAGAUCAGAAGGAAGGUGCAAGUUCCUGCUUUGGGGCAGGAGGAAGGAUUAACGGCUAUUGCUGGGUGGUGAUGUCUGAUAACCGCCCCUUCUUCCCGCCUCUCCCUCCCGCCAAGGUAAUUGAUUGGGGUUAUAACGCCCAGGAGCUACUCUGUAUCAGUAAUUAUGGCUUUCUGAAUUGUAUAGGUCUGGUUCCAUAGAGCGAGUCCCCCUCAUCAUCUAGUCUUCAAAGCUGAACUUCUUCAUCGUGGAAUCAGAGCCUAGAACUUGUGUAGCUAGAAAGUUUUGACUUGCCUAGUUCCUUCUCAUUUGGAGGGAGCCUCCUUCCUUGUGUCCCUAUGGGUGCCCCACUGUAGGUGUGUCUGCAUCCCUGGGCUGCUGAUCGGAGAACUUCGGUAGCAAUAUCCAUUGGGCCCGCACAUGUGCUGUCUCUCCUCGUGCUAUGCCACUAGGUUAGCCAGCACACACAAGCUAACCAUCCUCAGUUCCUUCUCAACCACCCUUGCUAGAGAUGGAGCCUUUAGCUGUCCGGUUGCGGAUCAUCAAUAAUAAUAUAACCAGCGGUACGUCUCCUGUAAGACUGUUACCUGGGUCACUAGAGGUAUCACAAGCAUUGCAGGCCUCACAUCUAGGCCAUUCAAAUUAUGACUUUGGAGGGGCACAUUCUGCUCAGUUUACACCAAUGUAAAUGUGGAGUAACCACUGAAAUCAAGUUUUACUUUGAUAUAACUGAAAGCAGAAUUUGGCUUAUAAAGGUGGCUUGCUAUAUGAGUGUUUCUCAACUGUGGAUUGUUGAUCCCAAGGGAGGUUACAAAAGGCAACCAAGGUGGUCAUGAGGUGUUGAAAAAUUUAUUACAAUCUAAAGCAAAGAAAAAGUCCCUCCCCCACUUCCUGCCCACCCUUACCCUUCAAAGUCAAAUAUUCUUUGCUGACUUCUUGAGACACACACACACACACAUACUUUAUGUAGGCUUAUCGUUGUUAGCACUGAUACUUUUUGUUUUACUUUUAAUGUUAUAUUAAAUGUAAGGCAAGGCAUGAAAAAUUUUGACUUUGAAUAAGGGGUUGUGAACCUGGAAAGGUUAAGAGACACUGCGCUCUAUCAUAGUUACAAUUUCAACCAGGGUCCAUUACAUG